rnacentral:SRP_RNA from 1 species
GCUGGGCAUAGUGGCGGGUGCCUGUAAUCCCAGCUACUUGGGAGGCUGAGGCAGGAGAAUCGCUUGAACCGGGGAGGCGGAGGUUGCAGUGAGCCAAGAUUGAGCCACUGCACUCCAGCCCAGGUGACAGAGUGAGACUCCGUCUCAG